rnacentral:rRNA from 1 species
GACGAACGCUGGCGGCGUGCCUAACACAUGCAAGUCGAGCGAUGAAGUUUUCUUCGGAAAACGGAUUAGCGGCGGACGGGUGAGUAACACGUGAGUAACCUGCCUCAAAGAGGGGGAUAGCCUUCCGAAAGGAAGAUUAAUACCGCAUAAUAUCAGAUGGUCGCAUGACCGAUUGAUUAAAGGAGAAAUCCGCUUUGAGAUGGACUCGCGGCGCAUUAGCUAGUUGGUGAGGUAACGGCUCACCAAGGCGACGAUGCGUAGCCGACCUGAGAGGGUGAUCGGCCACAUUGGGACUGAGACACGGCCCAGACUCCUACGGGAGGCAGCAGUGGGGAAUAUUGCGCAAUGGACGAAAGUCUGACGCAGCAACGCCGCGUGGGUGAUGAAGGUUUUCGGAUUGUAAAGCCCUGUCUUCGAGGACGAUAAUGACGGUACUCGAGGAGGAAGCCACGGCUAACUACG